rnacentral:rRNA from 1 species
GACGAACGCUGGCGGCGUGCUUAACACAUGCAAGUCGAACGCUGAAGCUCAGCUUUUGUUGGGUGGAUGAGUGGCGAACGGGUGAGUAACACGUGAGUAACCUGCCCCCUUCUUUGGGAUAACGCCCGGAAACGGGUGCUAAUACUGGAUAUUCACUGGUCUUCGCAUGGGGGUUGGUGGAAAGGGUUUUUCUGGUGGGGGAUGGGCUCGCGGCCUAUCAGCUUGUUGGUGGGGUGAUGGCCUACCAAGGCUUUGACGGGUAGCCGGCCUGAGAGGGUGACCGGUCACAUUGGGACUGAGAUACGGCCCAGACUCCUACGGGAGGCGGCAGUGGGGAAUAUUGCACAAUGGGCGAAAGCCUGAUGCAGCGACGCCGCGUGAGGGAUGGAGGCCUUCGGGUUGUGAACCUCUUUCGCUCAUGGUCAAGCCGCAACAAUGGUUGUGGUGAGGGUAGUGGGUAAAGAAGCGCCGGCUAACUACGUG